rnacentral:rRNA from 1 species
UGGCCUUGGCCGCGUGCUAAUACAUGCAAGUCGAGCGGACAGAUGGGAGCUUGCUCCCUGAUGUUAGCGGCGGACGGGUGAGUAACACGUGGGUAACCUGCCUGUAAGACUGGGAUAACUCCGGGAAACCGGGGCUAAUACCGGAUGGUUGUUUGAACCGCAUGGUUCAAACAUAAAAGGUGGCUUCGGCUACCACUUACAGAUGGACCCGCGGCGCAUUAACUAGUUGGGGAGGUAACGGCUCACAAAGGCA